UAAACCACCCAGGCCCCCGGUUUGCAGGCUGCUGUGACGCAGUUUAUCAGACUUUGCAAGUUUCUCAUGGGAAUGCAGGGUGCCCGGCGGCAGCCUGCGGUGCUUGGCUGUUUAUUUUUUGCCCUCCACAAUGCAACCCUUGGGGCCUGGGCAGACAUCUCAAGACCUGGGAAGCAGCAGACCUUGUGUGUAUGCAGAGGUGUGGUUUCCCAUGACCUGCUGGAGCAGACUAGUAACCUGAAAAAAAUAUGCGUACUUGAAAUGUCUAUCUGAACACUCGGGAGUAAAUAGAAGAAAAGAAGAUGACAAACCUUUUCAUCGUGUUACACUGUGAUCACUUCCACCACCACAUCUCUGAUGUCCUCCAAAAGAAGGCCAGUUCCUGUUCAGGCUUACAUACCUGCAAAUCGCUUAGAAAUGUAUGGGAGUUACUGAAACUGCCAGUGGUAGAAUCAUCACACAAACAAAUUACAGAAUCUAGGAGCCCUCCUAGAACGGCUUGCCUACUUCCAUGAUACUUUAUGCUUUCACCAGCUGUCAAUGUCAAUUUGUACAUGUCAGUCCUAACAGGCUGUAAGGCCACUGAGAGAAGCAAGGGCAGAAAUUAUAAAGAAGAUGUCCCUUAUAUGGACAAAACUUCUGGAAAGUUUUCCAGAGUCAAGGGCAAUCCAGAUUCAUUGCUGGCUGGGUCUGUGUGCAUGCCUCAGUCACAUAUUUCUUGCAGAAGCUCCUCAGCUAUGAUCUAGAGACUCUUGCAGACUUUCUGAUUCAACCAGUAUGGUUACCCAUAACAGUUUCAUUAAACUACUUCUGUACAGCCUUUUGCUUGUUAGUCUUCUCCCUGGUAGAAGACUAUGUUGAAAAUAGUAUGUUCUAUGCUCCAUUCCUAAAACAAACAACAUGCAGAUAAAUAUGGUGCAAAGUGCUUACCACAACUGAAAAAUAAACUUCUAACCACAGUGAGGGAGGGGAAAAGAGCUGGGUAUUUUGUGGUCCCUGAAGGAAAUUGAAAUCUGCUUUUUGGUGGAGACAUGCUUCAAAAGAUGAAACCAACCAAAUGGGGAAAAUGCCUUUUUUUUUCUUGGGUAUGCGCACAACACAUAUUAAUGGUUGCCAUAAGUUAAAUGGGAAGUACUAUUGAUAUUAUUGUCUGUUUGUUAUUAAAUAAAAUCAUUUAAGCUUU